rnacentral:rRNA from 1 species
AACGAACGCUGGCGGCAUGCCUAACACAUGCAAGUCGAACGAGACCUUCGGGUCUAGUGGCGCACGGGUGCGUAACGCGUGGGAACCUGCCCUUAGGUUCGGAAUAACUCCCCGAAAGGGGUGCUAAUACCGGAUAAUGUCUUCGGACCAAAGAUUUAUCGCCUUUGGAUGGGCCCGCGUUGGAUUAGCUAGUUGGUAGGGUAAAAGCCUACCAAGGCGACGAUCCAUAGAUGGUCUGAGAGGAUGAUCAGCCACACUGGGACUGAGACACGGCCCAGACUACUACGGGAGGCAGCAGUGGGGAAUAUUGGAAAAUGGGCGAAAGCCUGAUCAAGCAAUGCCGCGUGAGUGAUGAAGGCAUUAGGGUUGUAAAGCUAUUUUAACCGGGAUGAUAAUGACAGUACCGGGAGAAUAAGCGCCGGCUAACUCCGUG